rnacentral:rRNA from 1 species
GAAACUGCGAAUGGCUCAUUAAAUCAGUUAUCGUUUAUUUGAUAGUACCUUACUACUUGGAUAACCGUGGUAAUUCUAGAGCUAAUACAUGCUAAAAACCCCGACUUCGGAAGGGGUGUAUUUAUUAGAUAAAAAACCAAUGCGCUUCGGGGCUCCUUGGUGAUUCAUGAUAACUUAACGAAUCGCAUGGCCUUGUGCCGGCGAUGGUUCAUUCAAAUUUCUGCCCUAUCAACUUUCGAUGGUAGGAUAGUGGCCUACCAUGGUUUCAACGGGUAACGGGGAAUUAGGGUUCUAUUCCGGAGAGGGAGCCUGAGAAACGGCUACCACAUCCAAGGAAGGCAGCAGGCGCGCAAAUUACCCAAUCCCGACACGGGGAGGUAGUGACAAUAAAUACUGAUACAGGGCUCUUUUGAGUCUUGUAAUUGGAAUGAGUACAAUUUAAAUCCCUUAACGAGGAACAAUUGGAGGGCAAGUCUGGUGCCAGCAGCCGCGGUAAUUCCAGCUCCAAUAGCGUAUAUUAAAGUUGUUGCAGUUAAAAAGCUCGUAGUUGAACCUUGGGCCUGGCUGGCCGGUCCGCCUCAC